rnacentral:rRNA from 1 species
UGGGGAAUAUUGGGCAAUGGGGGAAACCCUGACCCAGCAACGCCGCGUGAAGGAAGAAGGCCUUCGGGUUGUAAACUUCUUUUAGCAGGGACGAAGGACGUGACGGUACCUGCAGAAAAAGCAACGGCUAACUACGUGCCAGCAGCCGCGGUAAUACGUAGGUUGCGAGCGUUGUCCGGAAUUACUGGGUGUAAAGGGCGUGUAGGCGGAGCUGCAAGUCAGAUGUGAAAUGUCAUGGCUCAACCAUGGAACUGCAUUUGAAACUGUGGCCCUUGAGUAUCGGAGAGGCAAGCGGGAUUCCUAGUGUAGCGGUGAAAUGCGUAGAUAUUAGGAGGAACACCAGUGGCGAAGGCGGCUUGCUGGACGACAACUGACGCUGAGGCGCGAAAGCGUGGGGAGCAAACAGGAUUAGAUACC